GAGACACCCUUCUGGGGCAAGACUUGCUUCAGUGGGGCUUUGGUGCUCAUUGAGUCUCACCCGAGUGUGUCUCU
rnacentral:pre_miRNA from 1 species